UCAUUGAUGUGCUUUCUAGGAAAAAGUUGGUGUAUAUUGAAAUUGGUGCAGCAGAACGUCUGAACUCUAGUGUUGCUAAUUGGUUCAUUCCAUCUUAUCCUGUGGAUCACAAGGCUUUAGAUAUUUAUUUUGUUGACCACAACACUUCAGUUCUGCUUUCAUGUGUUAAAAAACCUGGCGUUACCUUCAUUUACUAUCCUGGCCUUGCUGGAGACAAGAUUACUGCGUCAAUUUCUGAUGUUGAAGAUCUAGAUCCUUCCGUGGAAGAUGAGGGAUUUGAUUUC
rnacentral:lncRNA from 1 species